GGGGGGAGGAGUUAGUGACCAUGCUGAUCUAAGUAUAAGCAAUUAUACAGCGAAAACUGCGAAUGGCUCAUUAUAUAAGUUAUCGUUUAUUUGAUAGUACCUUACUACUUGGAUAACCGUGGUAAUUCUAGAGCUAAUACAUGCUAAAAACCCCGACUUCGGAAGGGGUGUAUUUAUUAGAUUAAAAACCAAUGCCCUUCGGGGCUCACUGGUGAUUCAUAAUAACUUCUCGAAUCGCAUGGCCUUGCGCCGGCGAUGGUUCAUUCAAAUUUCUUCCCUAUCAACUUUCGAUGCUAGAGUAGUGUUCUAGCAUGGUUACAACGGGUAACGGAAGGUUAGGGCUCGACCCCGGAGAAGGACCUGAGAAACGGCUACUACAUCCAAGGAAGGCAGCAGGCGCGCAAAUUACCCAAUCCCGACACGGGGAGGUAGUGACGAUAAAUACUGAUACAGGGCUCUUUUGGGUCUUGUAAUUGGGAAUGAUUACAAUUUAAAUCCCUUAACGAAGAACAAUUGGA
rnacentral:rRNA from 1 species